UACGUAGGUGGCAAGCGUUGUUCGGAAUUACUGGGCGUAAAGGGCGCGUAGGCGGCUUGUUAAGUCGGUUGUGAAAGCCCGGGGCUCAACCCCGGAGAGUCGGCCGAUACUGGCGGGCUAGAGUACGGAAGAGGUAACUGGAAUUCCUGGUGUAGCGGUGAAAUGCGUAGAUAUCAGGAGGAACACCUGAGGCGAAGGCGGGUUACUGGGCCGAUACUGACGCUGAUGCGCGAAAGCCAGGGUAG
rnacentral:rRNA from 1 species